UACGUAGGGGCCGAGCGUUGUCCGGAGUUACUGGGCGUAAAGCGCGCGCAGGUGGCGAUUCAAGCCUGACGUGAAAGCCCCCGGCUCAACCGGGGAGGGUCGUCGGGGACUGGGUCGCUUGAGGGUGGCAGGGGCUGGUGGAAUUCCCGGUGUAGUGGUGAAAUGCGUAGAGAUCGGGAGGAACACCCGUGGCGAAGGCGGCCAGCUGGGCCAACCCUGACACUGAGGCGCGAAGGCGUGGGGAGCGAACGGG
rnacentral:rRNA from 1 species